ACUGCUCAGUAACACGUGGACAACCUGCCCUUAGGACGGGGAUAAACCCGGGAAACUGGGUAUAAUACCCGAUAGGUCUCGAUUGCUGGAAUGCAUCGAGAUUUAAAGCUCCGGCGCCUAAGGAUGGGUCUGCGGCCUAUCAGGUAGUAGUGGGUGUAGCGUACCUACUAGCCUACGACGGGUACGGGUUGUGAGAGCAAGAGCCCGGAGAUGGAUUCUGAGACACGAAUCCAGGCCCUACGGGGUGCAGCAGGCGCGAAAACUUUACAAUGCUGGCAACAGCGAUAAGGGAACCUCGAGUGCCAGGUUACAAAUCUGGCUGUCGGGAUGCCUAAAAAGCAUUUCAUAGCAAGGGCCGGGCAAGACCGGUGCCAGCCGCCGCGGUAGCACCGGCGGCUCGAGUGGUAACCGUUAUUAUUGGGUCUAAAGGGUCUGUAGCCGGCCGGAUAAGUCUCUUGAGAAAUCUGGCAGCUUAACUGUCAGGCUUUCAGGAGAUACUGUCUGGCUCGAGGCCGGGAGAGGUGAGAGGUACUUCAGGGGUAGGGGUGAAAUCUUGUAAUCCUUGAAGGACCACCAGUGGCGAAGGCGUCUCACCAGAACGGACCUGACGGCAAGGGACGAAAGCUAGGGGCACGAACCGGAUUAGAUACCCGGGUAGUCCUAGCCGUAAACGAUACUCGCUAGGUGUCGGCCACGGUGCGACCGUUGUCGGUGCCGUAGGGAAGCCGUGAAGCGAGCCACCCGGGAAGUACGGCCGCAAGGCUGAAACUUAAAGGAAUUGGCGGGGGAGCAC
rnacentral:rRNA from 1 species